rnacentral:rRNA from 1 species
AGAUUGAACGCUGGCGGCAUGCUUUACACAUGCAAGUCGAACGGUAACAGGCCGCAAGGUGCUGACGAGUGGCGAACGGGUGAGUAAUGCAUCGGAACGUGCCCAGUCGUGGGGGAUAACGCAGCGAAAGCUGUGCUAAUACCGCAUACGAUCUAUGGAUGAAAGCGGGGGACCGAAAGGCCUCGCGCGAUUGGAGCGGCCGAUGUCAGAUUAGCUAGUUGGUGGGGUAAAGGCCCACCAAGGCGACGAUCUGUAGCUGGUCUGAGAGGACGACCAGCCACACUGGAACUGAGACGCGGUCCAGACUCCUACGGGAGGCAGCAGUGGGGGAAAUUUUGGACAAUGGGCGCAAGCCUGAUCCAGCAAUGCCGCGUGCAGGAAGAAAGGCCUGGUGU